UACGGAGGAUCCAAGCGUUAUCCGGAUUUAUUGGGUUUAAAGGGUGCGUAGGCGGCCUAUUAAGUCAGGGGUGAAAGACGGUAGCUUAACUAUCGCAGUGCCUUUGAUACUGAUGGGCUUGAAUGAACUAGAGGUAGGCGGAAUGUGACAAGUAGCGGUGAAAUGCAUAGAUAUGUCACAGAACACCAAUUGCGAAGGCAGCUUACUAUGGUUUUUAUUUUGACGCUGAGGCACGAAAGCGUGGGGAUCAAACAGG
rnacentral:rRNA from 1 species